rnacentral:rRNA from 1 species
UACGAAGGGGGCUAGCGUUGUUCGGAAUUACUGGGCGUAAAGCGUGCGCAGGCGGCUUCUCAAGUCAGGGGUGAAAGCCCAGAGCUCAACUCUGGAAUUGCCUUUGAGACUGAGUGGCUUGAGUACGAGAGAGGUGAGUGGAAUUCCCAGUGUAGAGGUGAAAUUCGUAGAUAUUGGGAAGAACACCGGUGGCGAAGGCGGCGAUCUGGGUAGAUACUGACGCUGAGGUGCGAAAGCGUGGGGAGCAAACAGG